rnacentral:rRNA from 1 species
CCUACGGGAGGCAGCAGUGGGGAAUAUUGCACAAUGGGGGAAACCCUGAUGCAGCGACGCCGCGUGAGUGAAGAAGUCUUUCGGUAUGUAAAGCUCUAUCAGCAGGGGAGAAAAUGACGGUACCUGAUUAAGAAGCCCCGGCUAACUACGUGACAGCAGCCGCGGUUAUAAGGAGGGGGCAAGCGUUAUCCGGAUUUACUGGGUGUAAAGGGAGCGUAGACGGCAGCAUAAGUCUGGAGUGAAAUGCCGGGGCUUAACCCCGGAACUGCUUUGGAAACUGGGCAGCUAGAGUGGAGGAGAGGUAAGCGGAAUUCCUAGUGUAGCGGUGAAAUGCGUAGAUAUUAGGAGGAACACCAGUGGCGAAGGCGGCUUACUGGAUUGUAACUGACGUUGAGGCACGAAAGCGUGGGGAGCAAACAGGAUUAGAUACCCCAGUAGUC